UUACAAGAUAAAUCAUAAACAGAUAAAAUAUUUAUUUAUUUAUAAAAUAAAUACACAAAUUAAAAAAGUAAAACUAGCAAUUAUUGAUUCACCACCCAGCUUGCAGUCACAGAACGUCACGGAGUCUAUGCAACUCCCCCAGGCUCCCGCGUCGUGUAGCUCCUCCCAUCCUGCAGAGGGAGCCACUGCCGUCCCGUGCGCGCAGCCAUGCCUUUGCCGGUCUUCAGGCUUCAGCAGAUGUCGCUGCAUUCUUAACAGCACACUAAAUAGCACUGAUUGUUGCUGACCUCAAUAUGGCUGACCUCAAUAUGGCUGACCUCAACCAUAAAUAGAAUUAUUCUCUAUGAUUCUCUGCCCUGUUUAGUGCAAUCGACAUUGUAUUUUUGAGUCAUUCCUUUUUUCACUGCUAUUUAAUGCCAUUCAUCCCUUUGGAGUCCGUGGACAUCUGGGCUUCGUGCGUUGAUGUUGGUUUUGGUUUCCUGAUGAUGGACAGGGCUCUCCGGACCUUCUGUGCUUGUCUUAUGGUGCAUGCAGCGGUGGUUUCUUCCACCACAGGUGUGACCAAGUCUUCGGCAUGAGCCUGUGCAACACUGGUAGGCGAUGACCAAUGGUGUGUCAAAUUUCCUCCCCCUCCAGUGGUGUAAAAGAGUUGCAGCUGCUCUGCCUCUGUGAACAUUGGAUAUCACCAGACUUUAUAUUUUAAUUCAUCCAGAAACUGGGAAUGGGAUUUCACUGUGACUUAGCUUUGCAUUUACCAGAGGGGAGAGCGAUAAAGCAGAAUGGCGGAGCCAAAGCAGGUAACCCUUGAGGCAUCUGAGACACGCUGGAAAUCUGCACUCUGGAAAUUUCACACAAGUGACACACUCGUGGACAAGAUGGGGAAAUAAAUGCCUCAACAAGCUCCACAGAUUGCCCCGAGACUCUGAGGAGGUGUCAUGGUUGCAGGAAACAGAAGCUUGCCCAUGUGAUCCCCACACACUUGGCUGGUGGAGGUGCUGUGAAGAUGGGAAUGGACAGAAGAAACCCAGGCUUCGGCCACUCAGUGGACCUUGCUUGGAAGGCAGGAGGGCCAUCAGGUCAGAGCCCAGCCAGCCUCGGCCUGGACUCUUGGUCCCCACCAGCAGUGCUCCUGAGGCCCCCCACGGUGACUCCCCUGAGAACCCACGGUGGCUGGGGGUGCCCGCCGUCUGGCUAGAGGAUGCGCCUGGCCACACUGGGCACCAGGACCUGGGCUGGCACCGGGUGUCAUGGCCACUUCCCACAGCCACCCUGGGGAGGAUGCACACGCAUGGCCCCCAGCAACAUCUCCACAGCCAGCAGGCAAGGCUCUUCCUCUGGAUGCAGAGACGCUGCAGAAAGCACAGAAAACAAGGGUCCUGAGGCAGCAAGGGCAGCGUAAGCAGGAUGGGAGAAGCCUCCAGAAAGGGAAGCUGCCGAGCCCUGCAGGGCUCCAUAUUAAAACUCCAGUUUGCAGCAUAUUUUAAAACCUCUGUCUUGUUUAUAGUCUUAGGAGCAGUUUUUUAAACAAUAGCUUCAGUGGACGCCAAAAGCAUGUACUUUGGUUUGGCUUAAAACUCAGAUUUCAGUGGCUGCAUCGUGUAAUUUGUGUGAGGAGAACUCCCAGCUUCAUCCUCCAAGUCUGCCCCUACCGUUGACUUGUGAGACAAACCUGUCGGGAGAGGCAGGCACAUGGCCUGAGGCAGGCGUCCCUGACCCUGGGGAAUGCAGAGGCAGCUGGAGGGAACUGUCGGCUCAGAGCUGUGACUGGAGACCUCAGAGCCAGUGAAGCAGCACCUGGGACGCAGCCUGGGGGACACCUGCCAUCUCAGCAUAGCACACGGCAUACGGCCCAGACGCACCAACCAGGAAGGCAGAAGAGUGCCCUGAGUAUGUCGGUUGGCACAGGCACGUGCCGGUAAGCAGACAGCCGGGGCCUGUCCCCACAGACACUGCUCCAUGCUGUGCCCAGGGCAUUGGCACCCAGGCCUAGAAUUUCACCUCCAGUCCUGAACCUGAGGCUGAAGAAGGCAGGAAGCCAGGCCCGAGCCGCCCAUCCAGACAUAAGGACAGCAGCCGGCUCAGCCCCUUCCCACCCAGCGCCAGUCCAUGGGGCCCCUGGGAAGGAAGGCCCAGCCUGAGGGGUGGUUCAUGCCCUCAGACCCGGGACAUGCCCUGGGUUCCCAGUUCAGCGCGAUACCCACCAAGGGCUGACCCACCAGUAACUGCACAGCGUCCUGUGCAUCGUUUGGGUCCUUGCCCCUUUCAAGCCUCCAGGCGCGGCUGCCCUGAGCUGCCUGCCAGUCACUGCUGUGCCACCGUUGCCCAGCGUCUUGCCCUUCCCACUCCAAACUGGGCUCUGGUCUGUUACAUGGGCUGUGGU
rnacentral:lncRNA from 13 species